rnacentral:rRNA from 1 species
GAUGAACGCGGGCGGCGUGCCUAACACAUGCAAGUCGAACGGAGAUUAUUGACGGAAGUUUUCGGAUGGAAGACGGUAAUCUUAGUGGCGGACGGAUGAGUAACGCGUGGGUAACCUGCCCCGUACAGGGGGAUAGCGUCGGGAAACUGACGGUAAGACCGCAUAGGACCACAUAUUCGCAUGAAUAAGUGGUGAAAAGGGAAACCUGGUAUGGGAUGGACCCGCGUCCGAUUAGCCAGUUGGCAGGGUAAAGGCCUACCAAAGCUUCGAUCGGUAGCCGGACUGAGAGGUCGGACGGCCACAUUGGGACUGAGACACGGCCCAGACUCCUACAGGAGGCAGCAGUGGGGGAUAUUGCACAAUGGAGGAAACUCUGAUGCAGCGACGCCGCGUGAGUGAAGAAGUGCUCCGGCAUGUAAAGCUCUUUCAGCAGGGAAGAUGAUGACGGUACCUGAAUAAGAAGCCCCGGCUAACUACGUGCCAGCAGCCGCGGUAAUACGUAGGGGGCAAGCGUUAUCCGGAUUUACUGGGUGUAAAGGGAGCGCAGGCGGUCUGGCAAGUUGAGAGUGGAAGCAGGGGGCUCAACCCCCUGACUGCUCCCAAAACUGUUGGACUGGAGUAUGGGAGAGGCAGGCGGAAUUCCUAGUGUAGCGGUGAAAUGCUCAGAUAUUAGGAAGAACACCGGUGGCGAAGGCGGCCUGCUGGACCAAAACUGACGCUGAGGCUCGAGAGCGUGAGGAGCGAACAGG